rnacentral:rRNA from 1 species
AUGCCUUCCUGGCCCAACAGCAACGAGUCAUCCGACGAUGACGAGUACAACAACAUGCAGAUGGAGUAUUUUCAAACUCCUGACACGGUGAUAGAUCCAAGUUUCUGCGGGCUUGUGGUUGAAUCUGAUCAUAACCGCAUCCUGCACAGGCAGAGACCAGGCAGGUUUGUGGCAUUUGAAGGGACUGACACUGGAAGGAGAUUCAUUGGAUGUGCUACUACGGAUGGUGUGCUGUGGUGUUCUGGAGUGGGUAGAUGCCCCUUGGCCAGUAAUUCUGCAAAUGUGUUUAACCAAGUUGUGGGAUAUGUAUCAUGA